rnacentral:sRNA from 1 species
AUAAAAUUCAUAAUACAAUUUGAUUUUGCAAUACAAAUACAUUUUAAUUCUAUACACUCCAUCUUAUUGUUAGUUUUUCUU